GAAAAUUUAGUUAAUUCAUAACAUCAAUUUGUCAAAUUGAAAUAAUCAAUUCAAUGAUAUUUUUCA
rnacentral:tRNA from 1 species